GAUGGGUAGGGGAGCGUCGUGUGCCGGGUGAAGCAGCCGCGGAAGCGAGUUGUGGACGGUUCACGAGUGAGAAUGCAGGCAUGAGUAGCGAUACACACGUGAGAAACGUGUGCGCCGAUUGACUAAGGGUUCCUGGGUCAAGCUGAUCUGCCCAGGGUAAGUCGGGACCUAAGGCGAGGCCGACAGGCGUAGUCGAUGGAUAACCGGUUGAUAUUCCGGUACCCGCUGUGAAGCGUCAAACAUCGAGCAUCGUGAUGCUAAGGCCGUGAAGCCGUUCCGGACCCUUCGGGGAAUGGAAAGUGGUGGAGCCGCCGGCCCAAGCGGUCAGUAGGUGAGUGAUGGGGUGACGCAGGAAGGUAGUCCAGCCCGGGCGGUGGUUGUCCCGGGGUAAGGGUGUAGCCCGUCAUCCAGGUAAAUCCGGAUGGCAUGUGGGUGAGACCUGAUGCCGAGCCGAUUGUGGUGAAGUGGAUGAUCCUAUGCUGUCGAGAAAAGCCUCUAGCGAGUUUCAUGGCGGCCCGUACCCUAAACCGACUCAGGUGGUCAGGUAGAGAAUACCGAGGCGUUCGGGUGAACUAUGGUUAAGGAACUCGGCAAAAUGCCCCCGUAACUUCGGGAGAAGGGGGGCCAUGUCCGGUGAUGGGGUUUUCCCUCUGAGCUGGGUGUGGCCGCAGAGACCAGCGAGAAGCGACUGUUUACUAAAAACACAGGUCCGUGCGAAGCCGUAAGGCGAUGUAUACGGACUGACGCCUGCCCGGUGCUGGAACGUUAAGGGGACCGGUUAGUCACUCUUCGGGGUGGCGAAGCUGAGAACUUAAGCGCCAGUAAACGGCGGUGGUAACUAUAACCAUCCUAAGGUAGCGAAAUUCCUUGUCGGGUAAGUUCCGACCUGCACGAAUGGCGUAACGACUUCUCGACUGUCUCAACCAUAGGCCCGGUGAAAUUGCACUACGAGUAAAGAUGCUCGUUUCGCGCAGCAGGACGGAAAGACCCCGGGACCUUUACUACAGUUUGAUAUUGGUGUUCGGUUCGGCUUGUGUAGGAUAGCUGGGAGACUGUGAAGCUGUCACGCCAGUGGUGGUGGAGUCGUCGUUGAAAUACCAGUCUGGUCGUGCUGGAUGUCUAACCUGGGUCCGUGAUCCGGAUCAGGGACAGUGUCUGAUGGGUAGUUUAACUGGGGCGGUUGCCUCCUAAAGAGUAACGGAGGCGCCCAAAGGUUCCCUCAGCCUGGUUGGUAAUCAGGUGUUGAGUGUAAGUGCACAAGGGAGCUUGACUGUGAGACCGACGGGUCGAGCAGGGACGAAAGUCGGGACUAGUGAUCCGGCGGUGGCUUGUGGAAGCGCCGUCGCUCAACGGAUAAAAGGUACCCCGGGGAUAACAGGCUGAUCUUCCCCAAGAGUCCAUAUCGACGGGAUGGUUUGGCACCUCGAUGUCGGCUCGUCGCAUCCUGGGGCUGGAGUCGGUCCCAAGGGUUGGGCUGUUCGCCCAUUAAAGCGGUACGCGAGCUGGGUUUAGAACGUCGUGAGACAGUUCGGUCCCUAUCCGCUGUGCGCGUAGGAGUCUUGAGAAGGGCUGUCCCUAGUACGAGAGGACCGGGACGGACGAACCUCUGGUGUGCCAGUUGUCCUGCCAAGGGCAUGGCUGGUUGGCUACGUUCGGGAGGGAUAACCGCUGAAAGCAUCUAAGCGGGAAGCCUGCUUCGAGAUGAGGACUCCCACCUCCAUGAGAGGGUAAGGCUCCCAGUAGACGACUGGGUUGAUAGGCCGGAUAUGGAAGCACGGUAACGUGUGGAGUUGACCGGUACUAAUAGGCCGAGGGCUUGUCCUC
rfam:Streptomyces sp. AVP053T2 APS67_contig000006, whole genome shotgun sequence.